CUUAAAUUGAAGAGUUUGAUCAUGGCUCAGAUUGAACGCUGGCGGCAGGCCUAACACAUGCAAGUCGAGCGGAAACGAGUUAUCAGAACCUUCGGGGGACGAUAACGGCGUCGAGCGGCGGACGGGUGAGUAAUGCCUAGGAAAUUGCCCUGA
rnacentral:rRNA from 1 species